UGCGGGUCGCCCGGCCUUUGUCUGGGACCCUCCAUCUUGGGCUCAGAGUCUGGUACCCGGGAGGCUCCUGCGCAGUCCUGGUAGCGCCGUGACGCGGUGGAUGCAGGGCAAUGGUAGGAAGACGCCGCCGGCGUCCCCAAGAAAUGGACAUGGGUACUGGGUCCUCUCCUCCUCUAGGAGGCUUUCUGAGGUGUGGGGGUGCAGCCUCUCAGGGGAGCACCUGGAUGCCCUGCUACUGGAAGGAAUGGCCUGGUAUACUGUCAUCUAAAAGGAACUUCAGUUGUUUCCAUGUCUGGUCUGUGAGUGUGACUAAUGCUACAGCAAUCGUGGGAAUGAUGCCAUUUCUUUGGCAAUUUGUUAUUCCUUUGAAUGCAUAACCAAUAUUAUAAGUUUGGAUUAUAUCGUAGUUCUGCUUAGUUCUUUGAAAUGAAACACAGAAUAAUUUAUAUUCUCAUUCUCAUUUAUAUUCUCAUUGUACUAGGAUUCCUCUUUUACCAUGUCCAUGUCUUUUCGAACACUUGUUGUCUGGCAUGGUUUUGAUACUAUUUACUCUGUACUGAAGCUACAGGAGGUCUGCUGUUUGGAGUAGCCAGUCCCUGUUGGGAUGCAGGGAGUCACCACUGAAAGAGUGUUCACAACCUCUUCUGUGGUGACAGGUGACUUUUAACUCUUCAUUAAUGGUGAGAGUUGAGGGCCAAUGAUGUGCUUGUGUGUCCAUCUUAAAAGGUCAGUUUUUCCUGUGAUUCAUGGCCAUUUGCACAGGCCCAGUCCCCUCUGCUUCGAGAGUUCUGAGACUUAGAAUUAAUUCCUUGAAGCGGAAUACAUUAAAACCAAGACACUUGGUAUGUAUUAAAACUCAUCCCAGGAGGUGGACCUUGUAGAUGGGGUGAGCUGGGGUGAGGGUGGGGAGCUUAGAAAGUGCUGAGCACCCAUUCUGGAUGCCAGAGUUUUUACUCUUUUGUUAUUUUUUUCCUACUAGUUAACAGUGUUUUUUUUUUUUUUUUAAAUAUGACUGGAUUGAUAUGUGCUUUUAUGUUGCUCUUAAUACAGACCUCAUGUUCAUAUAAAUCUAUCAGUGGAUCUUACUUAUAUUGGGAUGCCUUGGAGUUUGUUGUUACAGUAUUUGAGUUACAUAAUGUGUGUUAGUAUUAUUUAAUAAUAGCCCGUAAUUGACCAAUCUAGGCCCCCUGCAUCUGGGUGACAGUUGUGUAGCUUGGUCUUUUGUGGGGCCCUGUCCCUGAUGCAUAAGCUGCCUCUUUGGAACCUAUUCCCUAUGGUGGGAUGCCUUGUUCAGCCUUGAUGCAGGGAAGAGGAGCUUGGUCCUGCAGCAACUUGAUAUGCCAUGUUUCGUGGAUUCUCAAGGGAGACCUUACCCCAUCUGAAUGGAGGUAGAAGGGAGGUUGGAGGAGGGAACAUGAAGAGAGGAGGGAGGGGAAACUGUAACUGGUAUGAAAAAUAAAGGAAAAAAAAUAAUGCAGAGAUGAAAUAAAAAAAUACAAAAAAUAAUAAAAGCCCAUAAUUACUGCUCUUAUUCUAAGUUAAUUUCAUAUAUACUGUGGAUACACACAUGUACACAAACAUAUAUAUUUUUAUAUGCAUAUAUUGAACCUUCCAGAAAAGUUCCAGGGUUUUGUGAUUCUUUUCCUUCUAUUAAAAAUAAACCAUGUUGAAAUUCUGAUAGGAUAAUAUUAUUAAUUAAUUUAGGAGAAAAGGUUAUGUUUAUAAAUUUUUCAACACAAACAGUAUAUGUAACUUGGUUUUAUUUAUUUAUUUAUAUGUGCCUCUGAAUUUUUAUUUUCUCAUAAGUUCUGCCUAUUUCCUUUAUGAAUUUUAUGUCCACGUGAAAUAUGACAGGCAUAUAGUAUCUGUGCAGAACUUAGUCUGUGCUUCAUUGUUAACUACACAUAAAAGGCCUUGAGUGUGAUUGUCACCUAGGCCACAUAAUUAUUUGUCUCUUCCUGAUUGUGUCUCCUCUUGUCUCCACUCCCAGGAUUUCAGCUCUUGUGUUAUUAUUUCUGUGUCUCCAGUGUUAUCAUGACAUACAUUUAUACCUGUAACAGAAAAUAUUUUGUCUCUUUCAUAGCUGCUUUCUCCAAAGGAAUAACAACUUACACUUCAUUGUGAGUUUAUGUACAAUUGUUUCAUGUGUUCAUCAAUACUAUUUGUCUAUCUUGUUAUUUUGUUUUAUGUUUUUUCUCAUUUCUAAGUGUGCUCUGUAUUUUUAUGAUUAUUGAACAUGUACAUACUUCCUAUAUAAAACAGCUUUUCAAAUACCUUGCCUACUUUUCUUCCUAGGUCUCUAUCUUUGCCUUCCUUAUUAAUAAGUGAUUAGAUGUGUGUGAGGCAAUUGGUUUCUCCCACUGUGCCACUUCAUUUUUAACCCUUUGUUUUAUUUGAUGAAUACAAUUAUUUCAGUGCAGUUUAAAUUAUGAAUUUUAAAAUAUAGCUUUGUGUAUAUUUGACGAGCAAUCACUCUAUCUCCCAUAACACCUUCUGAAUGUCUUAGUAUGCUUUUAGAUUUAUAAACUAAAUAGUUAUAAAUGAUUUCUUACUAUUGAUGAGUUCCUCUAUAAAUGAGGAAAGGGUGUGCAAACAUCUGUAACCAUACAGUUGCCCCAGUGUUCCUGUAGUUUUCAUUGGAAAGAGAGUAUUUUCCUAUUGUUUUUCAGUCCAGUCUCUGUCAUCUAUGAAUCUAAAAGGCAAGGAUUUUUUUAAGGACUCUGUCUUCAUUUCCACAGUUAUAUUUAUUCUUCUCAUUGCCAAGUUAAUGCUAUAUAGCUUUAUAAUACAUAGACAUGUGACACAUCAAGAUGUUAUGUUCACAGUAGAUUCAUACAUGAUAGCAGCUGUAACAUGUAACUGAGGUUUGUAUAAAUUUAUUUGGUAAUGUUUGCAGAAUGUCAGAAUCACUAAGAACACAUCUCAUAAGGUGUCUCCACUAUGAUGUGAGAUAUGAGUUCAGAUAUAUAACACAAAUGAACAUAUAAUUUUUCCUUAUUGAAGUUACCUGGAAUUGCUGAUAUUCUUUGUGAUACAUUCCUUUUCAAUACCUCUUUUUUUUUUUUCUUUAUUUUGGAAUUUUUUUUAGUCUCCCUGCAACCGUUUUUGAAAAUUUCAUUUACUUACUUAUUUUGUGUGUAUGAGUGAGUGAGUGAGCCUGAGACAGAGACUAUAUGGAGACCAGAGGACAGCAUUCAGGAGUCAGUUCUCUCCUUCCAUUAUGUAGGUCUUGAGAAUCGAACUGAGGUCAUCAGCCCUGGUGUCAAGCCUUUUAUCUCUACUAGUUAAGCCAUUUUGUCAGCUUCAUCUUUUUUUUUUAAACAAAAUAUUUAUUUUCUCAGUUAUUGAGAUCAUAGACUAGGUCUCUUUGUUGUUUUACCUAAUAUUGAUUUUUGUCUAAUGAAUACUAUGCACUUUUUUUUUGGUUUUUCAAGACAGGGUUUCUCUGUGUAGCUUUGUGCCUUUCCUGGAACUCACUCUGUAGCCCAGGCUGACCUCGAACUCACAGAGAUCUGCCUGCCUCUGCCUCCUGAGUGCUGGGAUUAAAGGCGUGCGCCACCACCACCCAGCCUAUGCACUUCAUUUUUAACACCAGGAUUUGACACAUCUUCUUGAAGUUUAUUGGCUUAUAAUUGACAUGAAUUGCAUGUUUUUGUUUAUUAACAUGCUUACAUUCAUAGCACCUAUACCAUAGCCACCAGAAUUAACAUACCCAUGAUCCCAUUGUGUUUUAUAGUGUCCUUAUACAAUCCUUCCUUUAUGUUUUCCUCCAUCAUAUUUUGUGUAAUAAACAUUUCCUUGAACAAAUGAAAAAUGUGUCAAACAUCAAAAUUAUAUAGCUCAGUGAAGUAUCAUAUUAGGGACAUGUAAUUACUACCUCCUGUGUCAAAAAUAGAUACCUUUUGUAACCAGUAAAAUGUUCAGAAUGCGUUAAUUUAGCAGAUCACUGGCUCCCACCACCCCAAAGCUAACUACAGAUGGCAUUCGCAGCCGAUGCCAGAAGUUUGCCCACUUUGCUUCAACCCAUUGUGUUGAUUUACAUGAGGAAUGCCCCCCACAGGCUCAUGUAUUUGAACAUUUGUUCCACAGUCGGUGGUACUGUUUGGGGAUGUUAUGGAACCUCCAGGAAGUACAGCAUUACUAGAGGAAGUACAUCACUGGGCAGGCCUUGAGGACUUAAAGCCUUGCCCCAGUUCCUACUCUCCCUCUCUGCUUCCUGUGCAUGGAUGAAAAUGUGAUCAACCACUUUCUUGCUCCUGCCACCAUGCCAUGCCUUCUCCCAUCAUGAUGGACUCUUACUUCUCUUAAACCAUAAGCCAAAAUAAACUCUUCCUUACAUUGCUUUUGGUCAUGGUAUUUUAUCAUAGCAGCAGAGAAGUAACUAAUACAGUCACUUACAACCUGAUAGCUAUAUCACUCUAUUGAGUAAUGCCUUGAUUUACGACUUUGUUUUGUGACUAUAAAGGUUCAUGGUGCCGGGCGUGGUGGCGGAUAUCUUUAAUCCCAGCACUCGGGAGGCCGAGGCAGGCAGAUCUCUGUGAGUUAGAGGCCAGCCUGGUCUACAGAGCGAGUUCCAGGAAAGGUGCAAAGCUACACAGAGAAACCCUGUCUCGAAAAAACAAAACAAACAAAACAAAAAAGGUUCAUGUAACCACUUCCACCUAAAUCCAUGUUGCUAGGCCACAGCCACUAAUAUUUGACUUGAAAUAAAGUGCAUUUUAUUCCCUUUGAAUGAGAACUAUUUUGUGGACACUCCUAUGCACAAAGCCCACAUAUUACCUGAUUGUCCCUGCUCCCUUUGUCUCUCCAGAGUUUGGGAAGCUGUGGGCAUGUGGACAUUCAUCUGAAGAGGGCCCCAGGUCCCAAGACACCAUUCAGACAAGAGCCUAGGUCCCAGAACCAUACCACAAAUAGACAGGAGCCAGUGGAUGAGUGGACAGCUGUGAAAUUGGGCUCUAGACAAGUGGUGGCCCAGGGUGGUAAGUGCUAGCUAGUUAUGUGGGUUUCAAUAGCUUAUACAUCUACACUUCUGGACUUCCUGGCCCAAAUUCACCAUGUCCUGCCUUCAGUUGCCCUGAUAUCCUCCCUAUGGCUGCCAUAUAAGUUAUAGUGCAGAAGAUGAUAUUGCAUAGCCAUUGAAGUUUGUAAGGCUCAUAGCAUGUGUCUAUCACAAACUAUACCACAAUUCACACAUAUCCAUGUGCUUUAACCCAGUAGCCCCUUUUACCCCCACCCCUUUUCUUUCAGCAAAGCACCUCAUUGGACAGCUUAAUUAUUCCCAUUCCUGUAGAAUGCAGGGAAGAAGGUCAUUCUACAGGCAGAUUCACCUUCCUUUUGUGGAUUGUAAGUAGCUCCUGCCAGCCACAUUUCCAUGUAAACAGAACCUGAAGUUGACCCCAGUGUCUUCCUACAUCUCUUUCUGAACAUCAGGAUUCAAGUGUGUACAGAGAAUUCCACACUUUGUACUAUUGUGUAAUUGUCAUGACAUCACUGAAUGAUAGGAACUUUUUGUGUUAGCAUUAUAAGAGCUACCAUAAUAUUGUGUGGGUUGUUGACUAAAAUGCUGUUAACGCAUGACAAUACUCUUGAUUGGCAGGGUAAAGUAUCAUAAAAAUAUGUUUCAAGCAUGAUAUUGUAGCCCUUAUUGCAUCCACCAGUACAAUAGCUACAAAACCUAACACCUUUCUUUUCUUUUUUGUAUCCUUAUGAAAGCUAGACCACUGGUGAAUUUUAAUAUGGAGUCAUAAGGAAUGAUUAUACAAAAACAAAUGUUACAACCUCAUCUACAUUAAUUAAAUUCAAGCUAAAAAAUUAUUUCCAACUGUAGAUUCUGUUAAACCAUUAGAGAUCUGUUUGUGAUUAUAAUGGUUAGUCUUGCUUGCUAACUUGAUGGGAUGUAGAAGACAAACUUCUGGGUAUAUGUAGGAGGGUCUUUAACUGAGAGAGAUGUUUAACUGAGAUUGGAAGAUCCACCCUGAAGGUGAGCAGCACUAUUUUAUAGGCUGAGGUCCCACACUGAAUAAAAAAGGGGAAAGUUGGCAUACCGGUAUCUAUAUCACUGGGCUUCCUGACUUGGAUAUAUUAUGACCAGCCACCUCAUACUCCUGCUGCCAUGCUUUCCUUGUAAUAUGGUCUGUACACUCAAAUUGUGAGGCAAAGGAAACUUCCUUAAGUUGAUUUGCCAUGUAUUUUAUCAUAGUAAUGAAAAAGGUAACCAAUACAGAAAAUUGGUAACAGGAGUGGGAAUACUGUUUCCAGAAAUCUGAGUAUAUGGCUAUUACAUCCUCUGAACUACUUGUGAUAGAGACAUUGAAGAAGGCUUACAGACUAGGAAAGUUUUAGAAUCUCGUAAGCAGAGCUUAGUGGAGCAUUUGCUGAGAGAAAUAUGGACUGUGGAGACCUGGCUCAUGAGGUUUCAGAAGGGAAUAAGGAUUUUGCCAGGAACUGGACUGGAGGUCAUUCAUGUUACAUUCUCCCUAAGUAUCUAGCCUCAUUCUGUCCAUGUGAUGAGAACUUGCAUGAAUCUUGAUUCACAUGUAAUGGGCCAGUCUAGUAAGAUGGCUCAGCAGGUAAAGAUGCAUGCUACAAAGUCUGAUGGCCUGAAUUUGAUCCCUGGGACUCACAUGGUGGAAGAAGGGACCAGCUCCCAGCACUUCUCUCCUUACAUGGUACAUUCGCACCCUUCCUCCUUGCAUAUAACUGCAUAAAUAAAUGUAAUUUAAAAUUUUUAAA